AACGCACGAGACCUGCGGACCUGCGGAAGGAUCAUUACGCAUAGCCAGAGCCCCCUUCAAAUGCCCCCGUCGCGAAACGCGCGGGGGAUAGAGGUCGCGGGACUCUGGCCCCGAAUCAACCGAUCGGGCCACCCUGCUUUCUUGAGCACUAUUCGUUUCCUCGGCGGGCUCGCCCGCCACUGGGGACCCAACAAAACCUUUGCAAUGAGAAGUCAUAUCAGUAACACAAAAAUUAUCACA
rnacentral:misc_RNA from 1 species